CAGGACUUGACAUCCAUAGAACACUUGAGAGAUCAGGUAGUGCCCUUCGGGGAACUAUGAGACAGGUGGUGCAUGGUUGUCGUCAGCUCGUGUCGUGAGAUGUUGGGUUAAGUCCCGCAACGAGCGCAACCCUUGUCAUUAGUUGCUAACAUUUAGUUGAGCACUCUAAUGAGACUGCCGGGGACAACUCGGAGGAAGGUGGGGAUGACGUCAAAUCAUCAUGCCCCUUAUGUCCUGGGCUACACACGUGCUACAAUGGCUAGUACAAUGAGAUGCAAGAUGGCAACAUGGAGCAAAUCUAAAAAACUAGUCCCAGUUCGGAUUGAGGGCUGCAACUCGCCCUCAUGAAGCCGGAGUUGCUAGUAAUCGCGAAUCAGCAUGUCGCGGUGAAUACGUUCCC
rnacentral:rRNA from 1 species